UCGGCUUGUUGUUGGAUAUUUCUCAAUGGAUAUCAAGACGUUGCAGCUUCAGAGGGUUUAUGAGAAACAAUACUAUUCCCAGUAUCAGUCAUACACAUAUAUCAACUUCCCACCAUCAUUGUUGUCUUCGAGGAGAAUAUGAAGCGAUUUGGUGGAGUUGUCAUCAGAUCAGCUUUCUGAGUUCAAAGCAACCGCGGUUCCAAUAGCAUGGGCUUGUGAGUUGUCACAGACGUGAUCACCUACCUUUCUGACACUGAUGCAUGGCGCAUGACAGUGAAUUUCACCUGGCAGUAGUCGUGUGUAUGGUGAUCUUGUUUUCAUGGUACUUCUAGCUUUGAUCGUACUGUAACAAAUGAUGUGGCUGUUCCCAGCCUAAGAAUGUGACAGUGAAAUGAAGAGUUUCAAUCAACA